rnacentral:lncRNA from 13 species
AUGAAGUCCUUUGGAAGGGCCGCUGGAAGCGCAUCGGGGAACCGCCCAGCAUCCUUUCCGUGGGCCCACAGGGAGCAGCCCUGCUGCUGCAACACACAUUCCAUUGCACUUCUGCAUGUCUGUAUGUGUGCACGCAGUUGUACGGGGGCUGUAUUUCUGUGUGUUUGUAUGUGUGCAGUUGUGCAUGGGUUGCACUUUUGUAUGUGUAUGUGUGCACGCAGUUGUACGGGGGCUGUAUUUCUGUGUGUUUGUAUGUGUGCAGUUGCGCAGGGGUUGCACUUUUGUGUGUGUGUGUGCACGCAGUUGUACGUGGGCUGUAUUUCUGUGUGUUUGUGUGCAUUUUCACAGGGGUUGCACUUUUGUAUGUGUGUGUGCACGCAGUUGUAUGUGGGCUGUAUUUCUGUGUGUUUGUAUGUGUGCAGUUGCACAUGGGUUGCACUUUUGUAUGUGUAUGUGUGCACGCAGUUGUAUAUGUGGGCUGUAUUUCUGUGUGUUUGUAUGUGUGCAGUUGUACAUGGGUUGCACUUUUGUAUGUGUGUGUGCACACAGUUGUACGUGGGCUGUAUUUCUGUGUAUGUGUGCAGUUGUACAUGGGUUUCACUUUUGUAUGUGUAUGUGUGCACGCAGUUGUAUACGUGGGCUGUAUUUCUGUGUGUUUGUAUGUGUGCAGUUGUACAUGGGUUGCACUUUUGUAUGUGUGUGUGCACGCAGUUGUACAUGGGCUGUAUUUCUGUGUGUUUGUGUGCAGUUGUACAUGGGUUGCACUUUUGUGUGUGUGCACACAGUUGUACGGGGGCUGUAUUUCUGUGUGUUUGUAUGUGUGCAGUUGUACCUGGGUUGCACUUUUGUGUGUGUGUGCAUGCAGUUGUACGGGGGCUGAAUUUCUGUGUGUUUGUAUGUGUGCAGUUGUAUGAGUUGCACUUUUGUAUGUGUAUGUGUGCACGCAGUUGUACAUGGGUUGCACUUUUGCAUGUGUGUGUGUAUGCAACUGUACACUGGUGUGUAUACCUGGAGCUGUGGCCUUUAUUUCUUCCAUUUGGCCAUGUAUUGUCCCAUUUGGAUCAUAGUCAUUCAAGAUUUGAUGUGCUGGUAACAGCAGAAGGAAGGCUACCCCGUCAGCUCAGGCUGUCCUGA